rnacentral:pre_miRNA from 1 species
CCGACGUGUUCAAGUGGAGGGAAAGGAGGAACGGGGGAAUCCCAGCCCUUCUCUGCCGUUCCUCCUUUCCCUCCUCUUGAACAGGUUGGCAUA